rnacentral:rRNA from 1 species
AGCAUGCAAGUCAAACGGGAUGUAGCAAUACAUCUAGUGGCGAACGGGUGAGUAACGCGUGGAUGAUCUACCUACGAGAUGGGGAUAACUAUUAGAAAUAGUAGCUAAUACCGAAUAAAGUCAAUCAAUUUGUUAAUUGAUGAAAGGAAGCCUUUAAAGCUUCGCUUGUAGAUGAGUCUGCGUCUUAUUAGCUAGUUGGUAGGGUAAAUGCCUACCAAGGCGAUGAUAAGUAACCGGCCUGAGAGGGUGAACGGUCACACUGGAACUGAGAUACGGUCCAGACUCCUACGGGAGGCAGCAGCUAAGAAUCUUCCGCAAUGGGCGAAAGCCUGACGGAGCGACACUGCGUGAAUGAAGAAGGUCGAAAGAUUGUAAAAUUCUUUUAUAAAUGAGGAAUAAGCUUUGUAGGAAAUGACGAAGUGAUGACGUUAAUUUAUGAAUAAGCCCCGGCUAAUUACGUGCCAGCAGCCGCGGUAAUACG